CUUCUGAGACUGACAGUGACAACAACAG
rnacentral:piRNA from 1 species